rnacentral:rRNA from 1 species
GAUUUCUGGUACAAUGCACCUGGCCCGCAGCCCUCAAGGCUUGUGAGUGCCGGCGCGCGUUUACCAUCCUUCUAGAAAACGAUUCUGCCAUUCACUUGGUUGGGGUCGCGAUCUAGAUCUUUUACUUUGAAAAAAUUAGAGUGUUUAAAGCAGGCAAAUGUUUGAAUAUAUUAGCAUGGAAUAAUAAUCUAGGACUUCGGUUCUAUUUUGUUGGUUUCUAUAACUGAAGUAAUGAUUGAUAGGGACAGUUGGGGGUGCUAGUAUUGGCCGGCCAGAGGUGAAAUUCUUGGAUUCGGUCAAGACUAACUUAUGCGAAAGCAUU